GACGAACGCUGGCGGCGUGCUUAACACAUGCAAGUCGAACGAAGAGCGAUGGAAGCUUGCUUCUAUUAAUCUUAGUGGCGAACGGGUGAGUAACGCGUAAUCAACCUGCCCUUCAGAGGGGGACAACAGUUGGAAACGACUGCUAAUACCGCAUACGAUCUAAUCUCGGCAUCGAGGAUAGAUGAAAGGUGGCCUCUACAUGUAAGCUAUCACUGAAGGAGGGGAUUGCGUCUGAUAGCUAGUUGGAGGGGUAACGGCCCACCAAGGCGAUGAUCAGUAGCCGGUCUGAGAGGAUGAACGGCCACAUUGGGACUGAGACACGGCCCAGACUCCUACGGGAGGCAGCAGUGGGGAAUCUUCCGCAAUGGACGAAAGUCUGACGGAGCAACGCCGCGUGAGUGAUGACGGCCUUCGGGUUGUAAAGCUCUGUUAAUCGGGACGAAAGGCCUUCUUGCGAAUAGUGAGAAGGAUUGACGGUACCGGAAUAGAAAGCCACGGCUAACUACGUG
rnacentral:rRNA from 1 species